rnacentral:rRNA from 1 species
UGAGCAAUCUGCCCUUCUCUUCGGAAUAAGCGUGGGAAACCGCGUCUAAUGCCGAAUACGACCUCCUUUCGCAUGAUCGGAGGUGGAAAGCUCCGGCGGAGAAGGAUGAGCUCGCGGCCUAUCAGCUUGUUGGUGAGGUAAUGGCUCACCAAGGCGACGACGGGUAGCCGGCCUGAGAGGGUGACCGGCCACACUGGGACUGAGACACGGCCCAGACUCCGUACGGGAGCAG